GGAAGGCCUUUGGGUUGUAAACCUCUUUUCUCAGGGAAGAAGAUCUGACGGUACCUGAGGAAUAAGCAUCGGCUAACUCCGUGCCAGCAGCCGCGGUAAUACGGAGGAUGCAAGCGUUAUCCGGAAUUAUUGGGCGUAAAGCGUCCGCGGGUGGUCUUUCAAGUCUGCUGUCAAAGACCAGAGCUUAACUCUGGGCAGGCGGUGGAAACUGAGAGACUAGAGUUCGGUAGGGGUAGCGGGAAUUCCCA
rnacentral:rRNA from 1 species